UUGGUAAGGUAACGGCUUACCAAGGCGACGAUGGGUAGGGGUCCUGAGAGGGAGAUCCCCCACACUGGUACUGAGACACGGACCAGAUUCCUACGGGAGGCAGCAGUGAGGAAUAUUGGUCAAUGGGCGCAAGCCUGAACCAGCCAUGCCGCGUGCAGGAUGACGGUCCUAUGGAUUGUAAACUGCUUUUGUACGGGAAGAAACACUGAUUCGUGAAUCAGCCUGACGGUACCGUAAGAAUAAGGAUCGGCUAACUCCGUGCCAGCAGCCGCGGUAAUACGGAGGAUCCAAGCGUUAUCCGGAAUCAUUGGGUUUAAAGGGUCUGUAGGCGGUCUUGUAAGUCAGUGGUGAAAGCCCAUCGCUCAACGGUGGAACGGCCAUUGAUACUGCAGGACUUGAAUUACCGGGAAGUAACUAGAAUAUGUAGUGUAGCGGUGAAAUGCUUAGAUAUUACAUGGAAUACCAAUUGCGAAGGCAGGUUACUACCGGUGGAUUGACGCUGAUGGACGAAAGCGUGGGGAGCGAACAGGAUUAGAUACCCUGGUAGUCCACGCCGUAAACGAUGGAUACUAGCUGCUGGGGGCGACUUCAGUGGCUAAGCGAAAGUGAUAAGUAUCCCACCUGGGGAGUACGAACGCAAGUUUGAAACUCAAAGGAAUUGACGGGGGCCCGCACAAGCGGUGGAGCAUGUGGUUUAAUUCGAUGAUACGCGAGGAACCUUACCAAGGCUUAAAUGCAGACUGACCGGUUUGGAAACAGACCUUUCGCAAGACAGUCUACAAGGUGCUGCAUGGUUGUCGUCAGCUCGUGCCGUGAGGUGUCAGGUUAAGUCCUAUAACGAGCGCAACCCCUGUUGUUAGUUGCCAGCGAGUCAGGUCGGGAACUCUAACAAGACUGCCAGUGCAAACUGUGAGGAAGGUGGGGAUGACGUCAAAUCAUCACGGCCCUUACGCCUUGGGCUACACACGUGCUACAAUGGCCGGUACAGAGAGCAGCCACUGGGCGACCAGGAGCGAAUCUAUAAAGCCGGUCACAGUUAGGAUCGGAGUGUGCA
rnacentral:rRNA from 1 species